rnacentral:lncRNA from 1 species
AGGUGGGCACUCCUGAGACUGCAGAGUGGAAGAGACCACCAACACUGCCCACCCCUGCCCACAUCCCUGGCCCAAGAGGAAACUGUAUACAGACUCUGGGUUCCUGGAGAUAAGGGCACAGGAGCAGCAGGUCCCCUGAAUCUGAGACACCGCCGGAAACCUGAAGGGACCGACCACAUAAUCAGUUCUCUGCACCCAAAUCCCGUGGGAGGGAGAGCUAAACCUUCAAAGAGGCAGACACGCCUGGGAAACCAGAUGAGACUACACUCUGCCCACAUUACUGAUUCCAGAGGAAAACACCAAACACCAUCUGGAACCCUGGUGCACAGAAGCUCCCGGAAAGGGCAGCGCAGAUCUUCCUGUUUGCUGCCCCGGCGGAGGGCUCAUAAGCAACACCCCAUGAGCAAACUUGAGACUCGGGACCACAGGUAAGACAAAUCUUCCUACUCCAAGCUACCUGCCUAGUGAACUCAAGACACAGGCCCACAGGAACAGCUGAAGACCUGUAGAUAGGAAAAACUACAGGCCUGAAAGCAGAACACUUUGUUCCCAUAACUGGCUGAAAGAAAACAGGAAAA